rnacentral:rRNA from 1 species
UGCAAGUCGAACGCGAAAGCCUGGGCAACUGGGUGAGUAGAGUGGCGCACGGGUGAGUAACACGUGGGUAACCUACCUUUGAGUGGGGAAUAACUCCUCGAAAGGGGAGCUAAUACCGCAUAAGACCACGACUUCUUUGGGAGUUGCGGUCAAAGGUGGCCUCAUCAAGCAGAGUGUUUGGGACGAUCUUCCUGAGUGGAGGAUGGUCCUUAGCAUUUUGCACAGUGAAGCUGCCGCUCGAAGAUGGGCCCGCGGCCCAUCAGCUAGUUGGUAGGGUGACGGCCUACCAAGGCGACGACGGGUAGCUGGUCUGAGAGGACGACCAGCCACACGGGAAUUGAGAUACGGUCCCGACUCCUACGGGAGGCAGCAGUGGGGAAUCUUGGGCAAUGGGGGAAACCCUGACCCAGCGACGCCGCGUGGGGGAUGAAGGCCUUCGGGUCGUAAACCCCUGUUAGGUGGGACGAACGUCUCCCUGCAAAUAGCUGGGGGGAUCUGACGGUACCACCAGAGAAAGCCCCGGCUAACUCCGUGCCAGCAGCCGCGGUAAUACGGAGGGGGCGAGUGUUGUUCGGAAUUACUGGGCGUAAAGGGCGCGCAGGCGGCUUGGCAAGUCGAGUGUGAAAGCCCUUGGCUUAACUGAGGAAUAGCGCUCGAAACUACCUCGCUGGAGGGCGG